GACAGAGGGUGCGAGCGUUGUUCGGAAUUACUGGGCUUAAAGGGUUUGAAGGCGGCUUUGUAAGUCAGGUGUGAAAGCCCUCGGCUCAACCGAGGAACAGCGCUUGAUACUGCAAGGCUUGAGGGAGACAGGGGUAAGCGGAACUGAUGGUGGAGCGGUGAAAUGCGUUGAUAUCAGCAGGAACACCGGUGGCGAAAGCGGCUUACUGGGUCUCUUCUGACGCUGAGGAACGAAAGCUAGGGUAGCGAACGGG
rnacentral:rRNA from 1 species